CUUCGACUAAGGUUCGACUAAGGUUCGACUCGAGCGAAGCGAGAGAACGUUGCCGCAGGCAACGGCCCGAAGGGCGAGGCGCUUUAGCGCCGAGUAAUCCUUCCCCCACCACCA
rnacentral:sRNA from 1 species